GCUGGCGGCGUGCUUAACACAUGCAAGUCGAACGAGAAAGUACCUUCGGGUGCGAGUAGAGUGGCGCACGGGUGAGUAAUGCAUAGGAACGUACCUUCGGGAGGGGGAUAACCACAGGAAACUGUGGCUAAUACCGCGUAAUAACGAAAGUUCAAAGGUGGCCUAUCCUUGGAAGCUACCGCCUGAAGAUCGGCCUAUGUCCCAUUAGCUUGUUGGUGAGGUAACGGCUCACCAAGGCAACGAUGGGUAGCUGGUCUGAGAGGAUGAUCAGCCACACUGGGACUGAGACACGGCCCAGACUCCUACGGGAGGCAGCAGUGGGGAAUUUUGCACAAUGGGCGCAAGCCUGAUGCAGCAACGCCGCGUGAGUGAAGAAGGCCCUCGGGUCGUAAAGCUCUUCCGAUUGGGAAGCAGGGAUCCUGUAAAAAUAUUGCAGGGUCUUGACGGUACCUAAAGAAGAAGCACCGGCUAACUCCGUGCCAGCAGCCGCGGUAAUACGGAGGGUGCAAGCGUUGUUCGGAUUGACUGGGCGUAAAGCGCACGUAGGCGGAUUAGUAUGUCGAUUGUGAAAGCCCAGAGCUUAACUUUGGAAUUGCAGUCGAAACUGCUAGUCUUGAAUACCUGA
rnacentral:rRNA from 1 species